rnacentral:misc_RNA from 1 species
GGAGACAACUCUGUUAUUGAAAUCUGUGAUACAAUGCUACUGCUGUAUGCUAGUGUUAAGUCUGUGUUAAACCCACUAUUGUACUGCUUGUUGAUGUUUUAUUUCUGUUAUCUAUAGAUAUGGAAUAUUAAAUUCCAUGAAAAGAAAGAUGGUUUUUUUCUAAAUGUACAUGUAUUAAGGAAUUUAUCAUAACUGUUACAUUUUAGUCAACUUCAAUUUUUUUUUUUACUUUAUAAGAGGUUCAAAAUUGGUUUUAAAGGGGCAUGGUCACAGUUUUGUUCAAAUUCUAUUUUUUCUGCUUUUAAAAUUUUCAAUGCUUUAGGGAUGCAAUUCUAAUGAUCAAAUGAAAUUUUAGGAGUCAAUCAUAGAGAUAUUGGCAAGAUACAUAGUUCACAAUUCUUUGUCAUGUAAACAAGGCUCGUGCCCUGUUUUUGUUUACAUAAGUUCAAUAUACAUAUACCAGUAAAAAAAUAUUUCUC